rnacentral:lncRNA from 1 species
AGACGUUUGAAACAUAGAAGUGGAAAGGUGCGCUGCGCGAUUCUCUUGAGCCAGAUUAAUUUAUAUCACAUAAGUACCAAUCAGUUUUUAUCGAGCUUUAUAUUAUCAAGAUCGUCUAAAAUUUAUAAUUCUGCAUUGCAGGUGCUUGUUUGCACAAAAACUUUAUUUUUGUCAAUUGCUCUCGGAUCACAAUACAGAGGCUGCUCGCGUGUACAACUUGAACAUAUUAUAUACGAAUAUUUUAUUAUCAUCAAUCAUUAUAAUGGCGACACAAGCAACACAAAACUUGAAAGCCGUGCCAAAGCUUAGUGAAAUUAAUAACUUGAAUGAUGCAUUAAUUAAGUCGAUUAAACAAGAAGAAUUGCUUGAAAGCACGCUAAGACUGAAAAAUUUGCCAAGAACUCCGAGAAAUGACAUAACAACGACAAACAGAAGAAGGAGGCAGCACCCAAAACUAAAAACUGUUAGUCAGCGGAGCCAUUUCGACUCCCGUGCUAAUCCAAUAUUAAAUUCAUCGAACACUAAUACGAGUAAAAGAUCAGAAAAUGAUUCCACCUACGGAUCAAUCGAUUCACCGGAUCACGUUUUCUAUAAUUUGAUGGAAUACCGCGGAAACGAUUCUGGUGCUGAAAGUGAAUUUCAUUAAAUGUCAAAUGAAGAAAAACGAAAUGCUCCUUACGCGCGUCGUAUUGUUCAGGUCCGUGCAAAGGAAAAUUACCGACCUUCAGUAGUUAAAGAUUCUUCAAAUGCACCACAUUGCGCAUUAGAUAACUUUAAGUUGGAAAUUCCCGAAUCGUAUGUACAACAAGAUUUUCAACAAACACAUGACUCUGCGGGUCCUAUUAGAAGCAAGACCUAUAGGAACGGAGCAUAUAAACGAACGACGCUGCUUCGAUCUUAUUCUAACUCGUCUAAUAUCGGUAAUAAUAAUACACCUGUUAAUGGCUACUAUUCUCGGUACCCUGGUAUUAUGAAUCAGUUUUCACGCGACAGAAAUGAUCGCAACAAACCGUAUUAUAACUCAAAAUUCAGAAAAGUUAAAUUAUGUUGGAACUGUCAGAGCGAUUGUCAUUUAUUUAGACAGUGCCCGCUAGCAAAUAUUUAAUCAAAAAAUUGUAUACUAUUUUAAUUGUAAAAAUGGAUUCAAACGUUUAAUUUUAUAUGCGACGACGUUAUGAUUCAUGACUAGUGCAGUUGUAUUAUUGCUAAAUGCUAAGUUUAACUUACCGUGUGAUAAUAUAACAGCGUUAUGAUAUCAAACAAAGAAUUAUCCAUGUAUCUAUAAGUAGGAUGUGAGACGGCUAUAGAGGGAGAAUAUUUUAUAAUUGAUAGCAAUCUUUAUACGCAUGCUGUGAUUUUAGCUGCCUUAUUAAAUAUUCUGUAAAACAUGAGAAGAGAUUUUUCAAUGAUUAUCUAGUCAGGCAUCAAUUGAUUAAUCACUUCCUAAUUGCGUUACUUAUUUUUCGCAGUUUUCAUUGUUGACAUGUACAUUGUGCGUAUUAUAAAUAAAAAGUAGCGUUUAAUCUCACAGUUCGCGGUUGUUAAAAUUGUCGAUGAUAUAUUAUUGCGGCGGAACAUGGAUAA